CAUGUCACUCUCCCACUCGCUGGUCCAUGGCACUUUCUAGUGCCUAGCGCAGUGUGAGAGGGCUCAUUAGCCAGCGCUAAAUCAAAUCAUCCACGUCUCUGCUUUUUGCCUUCUUCCAUCUCUCUACAUCCUGCCAUAUCCCAUUUGCAGAGAGAGCUCCAAUUCCACCACCUCUGGUUCGGUUUCGUCUGGCUCGGACCACGAUAUCACAAGACUCGCGGAGAUGGCGGGCUGGGGACCGCCGCCGGGAGGGCCUCCCGGGCCGCCGGGGCCGUGCGGUUGCUUGUACUUUUGCUGCGACGGAAUCAGCCGGGGGAUAUCUUCAUGUUUUUAUGUCCUCUGCUGCUGCUGUAUCUUCGAGAGCUGCUGCGGGCCGGUGUUUGGUGGCCGACCAGGGCCUCCAGGCCCUUUUGGUGGUCCACCGGGUCCCCCUGGUCCAUUUGGAGGGCCCCACGGCGGGCCUCCCGGGCCAUUCGGUGGUCCACCAGGCCCUCCCGGUGGACCUCCCCGCUUCUGAUCAGCCUGCAGUGUAAGUCUUGUACUCGACGGCCAGUGGACAGACAUGUACUACUAGAUGUUUGAUGUCUAAAUUCUUGUUGCUGUGGAACUCUGAAUUGCCAUUGCACAACGUUCCAGCACAUAUGCCAAAUUGUCUGUGGAAUAUAUCUUAGCUAAUGACCUCCUAAUGCAAAGCUUGUCAAGGAAAUGCUUUCCCUGGUGUUGCCUAUGGUGCCAAUCCUGAGUGGAACCUCGUUUGGCCACUUGGUAUAAUUUUGGUAUUAUUCGAGGUUCAGACGGCGAAA